AAGGAGGGAGACCGGGACAGCUCCACAACUGUUCUGAGACACGGAGAGUUGCUGACUCAUCCAAGUAAACAAACAAAGCCUUCAGACACAAAGGUGCCCUCCAGGAGAAGGCAGGUGGAGGAGGAGGGAAACUGGGUGGAUGAAGUGAAAACCUGCAGGCCGGCCCAGGUCCACAGCGCAGAGCCCGCUUUCACACUCCCCGGCAGGAGAUUGGAGGAGGUUCCUCGGGCGAAGCCAAAUGGCACAGAGGAAAGGUCCCUUUGCCUCCCACGCUGUGUGGCCCCAGCAGCCCACAGGCACACAAGGGGGUGCAGGCUGCAGCCAGCUCUCCUCAUGCCGAGGGCCUGUCCGGGCUUUGCUGGCCGGCCUGGAGGAGGACGCCUCUUCACCCCCUCCACCCUGGCGGAAGACGUGUUUCUUGUGCUGAAUGCUCCUGUCCCGGCUCCCCAGGGCAGGGCGACCCGGCUGGCACCCAGGCGUGGCCAAGCCGCUCUCCAGCCUGCACAGCAGUCCCAGAGCUUCUGGUUCGUCUCAGCUCUGGUCAAGGUCUUUGUGUGUGACUUCGUGCUUCUCGUGGUCUCCCCUGUGGUUCAACGCUGAGCCAAGUGCAAAUUGCAUGGAGAGCCACCAAGGUGUCAAGUAACAGAACCCAACAGGGUGUCAGGAACAAGAACAAGAAAGAAGCAGACUUCAGUGCAGGGAGGCGCCCUUGCAGCCUGACUCACUGAGGACUGGCAGGAAGGUGAUGGAUGGAAGCCAUGUGGUCGUUGCUCUGCACCCAGCCUUUCUGGGAGAAGACGGCCCCUCGGCCCUGGUAAUGCACCGGCUGUCCCUGGGGAGGCCCAGCGUGCCCUUUGGGAGACUGCCCAGCUGUUCAUCUCUCUUCUCACUCCAUUUUUACUAGUUCUUGCUCAACCCUUCCCUGUCCUCACGACAGAAAAUGCUCAAGCAAACCUGUAUUUAAUUUCCUGGUAACGCGCUUUGGUGCUGGCCACUCUGAAGCCACGGCUAGCCACGUGCACACAUGCACACGGCCAUUAGCCCUGAGCACCAUGCCCCAUAGCUGCGUGGUGCUCUCCAUCCCACUUGACCCACGAAUGGAACCUGAGUGAAAGAAGUUAAAUCUGCUUCACGAAAACGUGGACCCUUGUUCAUUGGCACCAGGAACUCCAUGUCUCUGUGGCAGGAUCUCCGUCCCCAGCACAUCAUCAGAUUCACUGGCAUGUGCUCCUGCGAACUCAGAAACUAAGAUAAAUUAACCA